GUUAUUAAAAACAUGGCUUGUUGAUUAUGAUUUUAGGUCCGACCUGCCCACUGAAUAGAUUGAAUGGCCGCGGUAUUUUGACCGUGCAAAGGUAGCAUAAUCAUUAGUUUUUUAAUUGGAAGCUGGUAUGAAAGGUUUGAUGAAAUAAUGAUUGUCUCUAGUUAAAUUGGUUAGAAUUUUAUUUUUAAGUCAAAAAGCUUAAAUUUUAAUGGAAGACGAGAAGACCCUAUAGAGUUUUAUAAAUAAUUUCAAGAUUUAGGCUAGGUUUGGAGGAUAGAAUUUUGUUUUUAUUUGUUUGGUUGGGGUGACAGGAAAAUUAAUUAAACUUUUCUUUAUAAAUAUACUGAUUUGUAAAUUUAUGAUCCUAAAUUAGAUUAUAAGAUUAAGUUACCUUAGGGAUAACAGCGUAAUUUUUUUCAGAGUUCUUAUCGAAAAAAUAGAUUGCGACCUCGAUGUUGGAUUAAAAUUGAUUAUUGGUGAAGAAGCUAGUAAGUUAGGUCUGUUCGACCUUUAAAAUUUUACAUGAUCUGAGUUUAGACCGGUGUG
rnacentral:rRNA from 1 species